UAAACCAGGAUUAGAUACCCUAUUAUAUUUAAACAAAUUGGGUAGUAUUAUUAAUAAAAACCUUUAUACUUUGGCGGCAUUUUAUCUUAUUAGAGGAAUAUGUUCAUUAAUCGAAACCACACGAUAGUUUUUACUUACUAUAAAAUUUUAUAUACCCCCGUCUAAAGAAUUUAUUUAAAAUUUUUAUUCCAAAUUAUAUUAAAAAAAGUUAGGUAAAGGUGUAGACUAUUAGUAAGAUUAAAUGUAUUACAUUAAAAAAAAUUUAAGGAUAAAACAGUUAACUGUUUAUUAAAAGAGGAUUUAUAAGUAAUUUACUUUUAAUAAAAAUUAAUGAAUAAGAAAAUAAAUGUGCACAUAUCGCCCGUCACUCUCACAUAUAAACCAGGAUUAGAUACCCUAUUAUACAUAUCGCCCGUCACUCUCA
rnacentral:rRNA from 1 species